rnacentral:rRNA from 1 species
UACGGGGGGGGCAAGCGUUGUUCGGAAUUACUGGGCGUAAAGGGCUCGUAGGUGGCCAACUAAGUCAGACGUGAAAUCCCUCGGCUUAACCGGGGAACUGCAUCUGAUACUGGAUGGCUUGAGUUUGGGAGAGGGAUGCGGAAUUCCAGGUGUAGCGGUGAAAUGCGUAGAUAUCAGGAGGAACACCGGUGGCGAAGGCGGAUCUCUGGGCCAUUACUGACGCUGAGGAGCGAAAGCGUGGGGAGCGAACAGG